AGAGUUUGAUCCUGGCUCAGAACGAACGCUGGCGGCGUGCUUAACACAUGCAAGUCGAGUGCGCGGUUGUAGCAAUACAACUGGCGCACGGCGCACGGGUGCGUAACACGUGGGCAAUCUGCCCUUCGAUGGGGAAUAACUCCGGGAAACCGAAGCUAAUUCCGCAUAACAUUCCCUGGACUCCGGUUUGGGGAUUCAAAGCCGUAAGGCGUCGAAGGAGGAGCCCGCGCCCGAUUAGCUAGUUGGCAGGGUAACGGCCUACCAAGGCUAUGAUCGGUAGCUGGUCUGAGAGGAUGGCCAGCCACACUGGAACUGAGACACGGUCCAGACUCCUACGGGAGGCAGCAGUGGGGAAUCUUGCGCAAUGGGCGAAAGCCUGACGCAGCGACGCCGCGUGGGGGAUGAAGCAUCUCGGUGUGUAAACCCCUUUCGACUGGGACGAAUGCCUCGCAAGAGGAGUGACGGUACCAGUAGAAGAAGCCCCGGCUAACUACGUGCCAGCAGCCGCGGUAAGACGUAGGGGGCCAGCGUUGUUCGGAAUUACUGGGUGUAAAGGGUUCGUAGGCGGUGUGGCAAGUCGGGAGUGAAAUCUAUGGGCUUAACCCAUAGGCUGCUUCCGAAACUGCUGUGCUGGAGUGUGGGAGAGGCGCGUGGAAUUGCAGGUGUAGCGGUGAAAUGCGUAGAUAUCUGCAGGAACACCCGUGGCGAAAGCGGCGCGCUGGACCACUACUGACGCUGAGGAACGAAAGCUAGGGGAGCAAACAGGAUUAGAUACCCUGGUAGUCCUAGCCCUAAACGAUCAGGACUUGGGGUGCCGCACGUUCGUGCGUCGUCCCGGAGCUAACGCGUUAAGUCCUGCACCUGGGGAGUACGGUCGCAAGACUGAAACUCAAAGGAAUUGACGGGGCCCGCACAAGCGGUGGAACAUGUGGUUCAAUUCGACGCUACGCGA
rnacentral:rRNA from 1 species